UACGUAGGGUGCAAGCGUUGUCCGGAAUUAUUGGGCGUAAAGAGCUCGUAGGCGGUUUGUCGCGUCGGCUGUGAAAACUCAGGGCUCAACCCUGAGCGUGCUUCCGAUACGGGCAGACUAGAGGUAUGCAGGGGAGAACGGAAUUCCUGGUGUAGCGGUGGAAUGCGCAGAUAUCAGGAGGAACACCGGUGGCGAAGGCGGUUCUCUGGGCAUUACCUGACGCUGAGGAGCGAAAGCAUGGGGAGCGAACAGG
rnacentral:rRNA from 1 species